GAUGAACGCUAGCUACAGGCUUAACACAUGCAAGUCGAGCGAGAGAAGAUCGGUGCUUGCACUGAUCCGAUCGAGUGGCGGACGGGUGAGUAACGCGUGGGUAACCUGCCUCAUACAGGGGAAUAACAGUUGGAAACGGCUGCUAAAACCGCAUAAGCGCACAGUAUCGCAUGAUACAGUGUGAAAAACUCCGGUGGUAUGAGAUGGACCCGCGUCUGAUUAGCUAGUUGGUGAGGUAACGGCCCACCAAGGCAACGAUCAGUAGCCGGCCGGAGAGGGUGAACGGCCACAUUGGGACUGAGACACGGCCCAAACUCCUACGGGAGGCAGCAGUGGGGAAUAUUGCACAAUGGGGGAAACCCUGAUGCAGCGACGCCGCGUGAGUGAUGAAGUAUUUCGGUAUGUAAAGCUCUAUCAGCAGGGAAGAUAAUGACGGUACCUGACUAAGAAGCACCGGCUAAAUACGUGCCAGCCGCCGCCGUAA
rnacentral:rRNA from 1 species